UCGCCGUAUAUUCUCCUCAGGCCGGAGC
rnacentral:sRNA from 1 species